GCCCGCUCACGGGGGGCGGCGGAGGGGCCGCCCCGGCAGCCGCCGGCGGAGUCCGCCCCGGCUCCCGGCCCUCCUGCCCCGAGCGUCCCCGCCGACCCGCACACGGACGCUCUCCCACAGUCCCGGAGCUCAGCACGCUGGCGCUGAAGGGAGCGGGGGGUGCAGGCGCUCCCUUCCCCGCAGCGGUGCCUCCCGGCCCGGGGAGUCCUCGGGAAAGCCCCGUGCCCGUGACCGCGGCGGGGACCCCGCGGGGCCGCCCCUGGUCUAGGCCAGAGCCACUGCACCUGCCCCGCCGGGAGGGGCCCGCAUCCUGUAGGGAAACGUUCACUGGUGUCCCAGAGCUUUUUAGGGGCUGCGAACUCUGAGAACUCGUUAGGUGUCCUGUAGACUGACGGUGCCAAAGAGAGCAGGCCAAAGAGGAGUGUAAUGCACUCCCUUCAUAGUACCUUCCCUGUGUUCAGGGCUUUCCCAGGCAAAAUCCACUUUUGCUGUAUCGGUGUAAUGCUGAAGAUGGAGAUUGUGCAUGGUUUUCAUUAGUCUUUAUUGUUUUGGGUUUUUUUUCUUUAAAUCUCUGUAAGCACAUCUCAUGACUGCUGGCGGUCUGAGUCAUGGUAGUUGAAUGGUUACGCUGAUAAUUUGAUAAUAGAAACACACUUUUCUGUGUUUAUAAAAAAAUGCUUUGACUUACAGCCCUGUGCCUGGGGAGCCGUUACUUGUUAUUCUACCAGGCAUCUCAUGAUAUCUGAUGUUUUCACAAGAUCUGCUCAAGUCAGAUGAUUACAUGAAAGACUUGCAAGUUUUCAUCCUACAUUUUUUUCUCAGAUCCCAAAUUGCAAAGAAAAAUUAAUUUUUAAUUUUCAACUACCUUUGAAUGUUUAUUUGAUGCAAAGCUACUGUAGUGGGAUACAAAGAAUCAAAAAGAAAGAAAAAGCGUGGAGUUUUUAAAUGAAACUAUUUUGAGGAUGUUUAAUUAGUUUUGUGAUACCCCCUCCUCAAGCAUGGCUUGGCAGCAGAUUUUGAGUUACAUCAUCCCUUUGUGUUUGAGUAACUCAAAUAAGGAUAGGUUUAGUAUAUUUUGUGUAUUAGUGUCUUCAGUAGUUUGCAUCAAGACCAAAAGAAAUCAGAUAUUUGCGUGAGCUCUGAUUUAGGAGUGUUGUCUUGUAGGAUAUCAUGCUAACUAGUGCCUUCCACCACCAUAUCAUCAUUUGCUGAGGGCACUUCAGCUCCUCCCUUGGAGCUCACCUUGCUCUUCAGAUGAGCCUGAGCCUGUGCCCAGCUCAGUCUGCACAGACCAGGCCUGGGCUUAACUGGUAGCAGGGUUGGUUAAACCUCACAUAGGCAUAGGCAACAAUCAGAAAAUCUCAAACACGAUUUUUUACGAGUCAAAUAAUCUUAGUAUAUAUACAAUAGAACAGCAAGAUGUUAUUGAAACACCUGGCUUACCACAUCUCACAAGAGGACCUCAACAGAAUUAGAGAAAUCUCUGUGCAAGUAUUAUUAUCAUCUGUUUUCUUGCUUGCCAUGGCUCCCUAACCUGCCCUGUUAAAUUCUGUCUUUUUGUAGGAAACAAGGACAUGUACUCAUUUGUGGCCUUUUUGACCUGUAGUCUCCCAGCACAACAUGGGCACUCAGGGCACCAGUGCCUUUGUCUUUUAAGUACAUGCUUGGGUAAUGCUAACUGAGAAAUUAUUGUGUUGCCUUGCCUUGCUCUAUCAAUCCCACUACAUUUUUACAUAAACAUUUCAUAACUCCUAAUUAUUUAGAAACUUUAACAGCUAUAAAUCUAUUGGAGCAAACUCUUGGACAAAACUUGCAACUUAAACUUGUUCCACGAUUUUCAUAAGCUUUGAAACAAAACAGGCAACCACAUGAUGGAGAUAGGUUAAUUACAAAGUCUGCUAAGUAGAGCUUUAAACAACAUUUUCUUUAUUAAAAAGGAAUGAUUUCAACUUUAGUUCAUGUUUAAAACUAAUAUUCUAAAACUAAACAUUUAAAAUGUUUUAAAUACUAUUUAAAACUUGUGAUCACCAGUUGUGACCAUGUAAUCACUAUGUGAUCAGUAGAUGGAUGAUCUUUAAGACCUCUUCCAACCCAAACCAUUCUAUGAUUCUAUCCAUCAUUCUAUCAUUUUAUGUAGCUACCUAUUUUCUUACUUGCAGUCUUUCAUUCUGAAUUUUUCAUCUACCGUUACUCCUCCUCUUUUCACUCUAAGAGCUUGCUGAAGUACAUUACAAUGACAAAGGCACUAAAAUACAUAUUUAAAGUCAAAGAAAAGGGAUGCUGCUCCAGGGUAAUGGUCUCCUGCUGGUAUCUAAGAGCUGAGAAGAGUACAUAGGUGAAAUACACACCAGGAAAACAUAGUUUUGAUUACUUUAUUUCAGCUAUCUCAAGUGUAUGAUGCAAAUGUAGUCGCAUUGUUUGAUAAAUAUUGGUACAGUAAAGCAAGAACAGUUCACUGUACCUUACUGACAUGCUUAGACAUCAUGUAUGUCUUUCUUUGAUGGGAGACUAUUCUAUUCUUGAUGUUUACCAUUAUGUAUUUUAACAAGUUUGCCCUCCUGAGCAACUGCAUAUGUCAGCUGAGUACCACAUAAAGCUCCUUAAACCACGGCCAAGAUUUUCAAGCUUGGUCAGUGCUGACAUACCAUGUUUACAGAGGGCUUAUUCUUCCACAAAAAUAUUUUCAAUCUGUAGCAUCUCCCCUCUACAGAGGAUACUCCACUAUACAAAAGAUAAUGGAUUUUAAUACGCUAAAAUUAAUGAUGUGACCCAUUAAAUUUUGUGCUUGAAAUAUUCCUGGAACAUUGUUGAAAAAUAUGAGUAUUUCAAACUAGCAGAUGUAGGUCAGUGUUUUGCUUAAUAUAAGCUUUUAUCUGUUUUGAGUAGAUAAAAAUUGUAACAAUUAUUCAAUCCAAAACUUUCUUCCUGCAAACCAAACAAUUUGGGAAGCACAGUUAAAAAAAAAAUCUUAAGAUAAAUGAUUGGUGACAACUAGAUCUUUUAAUUCUGCUGGUCUUUCAAAUACAGUCUGAGAAAUUUGUGUCACACAAUACCUUCCCCACACCGCCAUCUGAUGUUUAGUAAGAGUCCUACUCACAGUUUGGGCAUCCACUCUAAUGCCAUCUUGCCAAAUUUAUCACACGUAAUCAUUGUUGGGAGUUUAAGCAAAAGCUUGAAAUUAACAUUGCUAGGUACACAGUGGUCUGGCUGGUCAGCUGAACCAUACCCUAAACUUUGUUGAUUGUAAUAGCUACAUUUCUCUUGACUAUAGUAUUAAAUUCCAAAUCAACUAAACCACAGUCAUGAACACAUCUGAGGAAUUCUUAUUGUUAAUAUUUUAUGUUUAUUGUUACAAGUGUAAAUUCAGUAGCAUUAAUACUUUCUUUCUCAAGGAAAGACCAGAGUGCAUCCCAAUUGAUUCUGCCCCAGCCUGUAUAGCAAAGCCUUUCACACUGCUGCUCCUCGAGAGAAUGCAUUCAUGGAUCAACUCUUAGAUUCCCACCCCCAUGGAUUUGAAUUGACUACUCCUGGGGCAGAUUUCCCCUUUGCUGACGGUGUUGAUUCUUCCAGGAUUAAAGCAGUCUUUUCUUUCUUGGAGGUACAAAUCCAGUGCUUGCCAGAAAACAUCCUUUCAGCCUUGACACAAGUUGUCUGAAGCUCUGUCUAUGCCAACCCCAACCAUUGUGCCGUCAUCAGAGACAUUUGGAGGUUUCUGUGGUACAUUGCAGGGAGCUGCAGCUGCUGUUCACAGGAAACACAUCCAGACGUAACAAGAAGCAGGGAUUGAACAAGAUAAGAUCUGCACUUGCAAGCAGCCAGAGAGCCACCCAUAUGAGGGAAGAUCACCCACACGGCACAGAUCUGCCAUGAGCAUUGGGAGGGGAGGAGGCAGUUCAGCCAAGAGUACCAUGGAUGCCCUUGCAUUGUGGAGAAAGGCACAAGCAAUUGGAUUUAACCAGCUGGGUGGAAUUUGAUUUGAUUAGCUUUGGCACAGUUUCACAUACUCUCAAUUCAUCAGUGAAUGGAGUAACUAUAUUGGAAAGCUACUGGGGAAAAACAACAUUGCCCCUGAUGCUGCUGUCACGGGCAGAUAGAGCACAAUCCCAUACAGUCUCGCUCUGUGUUUUUCUCUCUUCAUUGUCUCCCUAGUUAGUUUUUUUGUGCCAGUGUGUGUCUUCCUGUAUCAGGAUUGGCUGCCUUUUCUUGGUCUGAGAUCUUGGCAUGGAAGGAGCAGUAAUUACUCCAUGGUAUGACUCGAUGACUAUGAGCAAGGGUGGGAGUGCCCCCUCUUGAACAAUAAAACCCCUUGUAGAGAAAAGCCUAACUAAACAAAACAAAAUAAUGUGUAAAACCAGGCAGUGCUGCCACAAAGCACUUUGCCAGCCAGAGAGUCUAUAUGGAGUAUGAAUAAGAGCCCACUGUGUUUUAUUCCGUUCUGCCUGUUAAAGAUCCCAUUCUAUAAAGAGGUAUCUGUUAAUCUGUUCUGAUUUCAUACAAGCCCAGGCAAAUAAAACUUCUUUAGUUUCAAUGAAGCUAGUCCUAAUUUACAGUAAGAAUGAGAACUGAACCAGCCCCAGCAAUUUGGGAUACCAUGUUCAGACAAAACUUUUUUUCUCAAAUUCAUCUUCAGAAAAUAAAAUCACCCACUUUUAUUCAACUCUCAAUACCUAGCAAUUUUGAAUAUCAGUCAUGGCAGCUCACAGUUAGAAACAUUUAAGUGUACUAUGAGCUUACAAGUCCUGUAAUAUAAGCUAAUAGAGGUUAAUAUGCAGAGGAUUAAAGUCUUUAGAAACACAGCUCACCAGAAAAGCACGUGUCUGUACAUACAUUUGCUCAGCCGUCUAUACGAAGAAGAGCAUCACGGAAGUUUAAUGCUUUAUCCUACAGCUCCCCAGAAGACCAGCCUUUUUAAGUAGAAUAAAGAGGGCUUUGUUUGAAGAAUAGAUUUGAAAAAAAGUUAAAGGUUUCAGAGACAGGGAAUCAAGAUAAAUAUGGUGAACUGUACAGACUCAUCUCAAGAACUUUUUCUGUGAAACAGUCUCAAACUGAGUAAAGUUCUCCUAAGUAUUAACAUCUGUAUUGAGUGAAAAUACUUUCCUCGGUUAACUUUCAAAUCAAGAGGUGAAAUUAAAAAGUAAGAACAUUCUCAGUACGAAAAUUAAAGCUCUUGAAGCAUCCAAGUUUUCAAUAGAGAAGUGUUCAGGCAUGAGUCUUUUUGAGUUUUAGCAAGGUACUACAAUUGUAAAUAUGUAGGAACUCAGAAUUGUAGAGAAGCCAAAAAUCACCCUUCUCCAGACAAAAACCCUGUGUAUAUGCCUGGAAAAUACAGAAAAUGGAAAUAUGGAUCUUAGAGGUAAAGAACCAAAAAUCAGUUAAUGUACUUAACAAAUGAACAACAGAUAUAUAAUUUUGAGUGUGUAUUUCUGAGAGAUUUUGUUCCAUUUCCUCAGGUCCUGUAUGGUAUUAGGUAGUACUUUUUCCUUUGAAAAAUAAUGCAAGAUUGAAAACUAUACACCAAAAUGGGCCAAAAGUAGAAAGGAAUAAAAGUAAUGAAAACAUUACCCCUUGGUAUUCCAGAGUCCUUUGCCUCUCAAUGAAAAAGUACCCAGGACAUAACAAGCUUACAAAACUAAAAAUUGAGGCUUCCAUGUGAACAUUUAAAAAUUUCCUCUCAAAUAUGGCAAAAGCUAGCAUGAUCCUUAGAAUCAGUUUCCAUUAUUUUGGGAAAAAAAAAUCUGCUCCGUUGCAGUCUGUGUUAAGACUCUUGAAAACCACUUAACCCCUGUAUCUCAGGUCCCUUUCAGUGAAUGGGAAUCAUAGAAUCUCACCAUAUGAAAGGGGAUUUUUAAGACUAAAAUCUUUAAAACAGCAAGUUGUUCAUGUGUUGCAGGAAAGGGGACCAAGUAAAUAAAAUGGAUGUGCCAUGGUAUUUCUGACAUGCACACCAACACUGCUGAAUGCAGUGCCUGUACUGGUAAUUAAAUGUGAAACAAAUUCUUGUCUGUUGUAA